rnacentral:rRNA from 1 species
UGGGGAAUAUUGCACAAUGGGCGAAAGCCUGAUGCAGCAACGCCGCGUGAGUGAUGAAGGUCUUCGGAUUGUAAAGCUCUGUCUUUUGGGACGAUAAUUGACGGUACCAAAGGAGGAAGCCACGGCUAACUACGUGCCAGCAGCCGCGGUAAUACGUAGGUGGCGAGCGUUGUCCGGAUUUACUGGGCGUAAAGGGUGCGUAGGCGGAUGUUUAAGUGAGAUGUGAAAUACCCGGGCUUAACUUGGGUGCUGCAUUUCAAACUGGAUAUCUAGAGUGCAGGAGAGGAGAAUGGAAUUCCUAGUGUAGCGGUGAAAUGCGUAGAGAUUAGGAAGAACACCAGUGGCGAAGGCGAUUCUCUGGACUGUAACUGACGCUGAGGCACGAAAGCGUGGGUAGCAAACAGGAUUAGAUACCCUGGUAGUCCACGCCGUAAACGAUGAGUACUAGGUGUAGGAGGUAUCGACCCCUUCUGUGCCGCAGUAAACACAUUA